UUUGAGGGUGAUGAGUUGCACGUAACAGUCGGGGUGUGUCUGAUGCAGUGGCAUCGACCCCCCUGACCUGACACAACCUGAGGACACAACUUGUGCACAGGGGCCAUCUGACUCAAC
ensembl:snoRNA small nucleolar RNA SNORD67